GAUGAAGAACGCAGCGAAAUGCGAUAAGUAGUGUGAAUUGCAGAAUUCAGUGAAUCAUCGAAUCUUUGAACGCACAUUGCGGCCAUAGGUAUUCCUUUGGCCAUGCCUGUUCGAGCGUCAUUUACACCCUCAAGCCUAGCUUGGUGUUGGGCGUCUGUCCCGCCGUUCUCGCGCGCGGACUCGCCUCAAAGUCAUUGGCGGCGGUCGUGCCGGCCCCCUCGCGCAGCACAUUUGCGCUUCUCGGAGGCCCGGCGGAUCCGCGCUCCAGCAAGACCUUUCACGACUUGACCUCGGAUCAGGUAGGACUACCCGCUGAACUUAAGCAUAUCAAUAAGCGGAGGA
rnacentral:misc_RNA from 1 species